CAUACAGGAUGGUGCUGAGAGACGUGCUGUCCGAGUGGCUCGGUCAUAGGACGCAACCGACUUUAAACUUACAACAAAAGGUGCAGUUUUAGGAUGUUACCAUGUUGCUGAAGGUGAAAUACCACAGUAUCAAGAAGUACAUCAAAUUGCAAUCAGGCUCCACCUAUUCAGAAUUCAUCAGGGAAGUCAAAACCAAGUUUGGGCUUCCUGACGCAGCUCAACUUAACAUUUUUGAUGAAACUGACACAGCAGUAGAGGAAGACAUUUUUCUAGAGCUGUUGGAGGCAGAUCCGGACAUAUGCCUGACAGUACGUGACAGCAUUUCAG